UACGAAGGGGGCUAGCGUUGCUCGGAAUUACUGGGCGUAAAGGGCGCGUAGGCGGCGCUGUUAGUCAGGCGUGAAAUUCCUGGGCUCAACCUGGGGACUGCGCUUGAUACGGCAGUGCUUGAGGAUGGAAGAGGCUCGCGGAAUUCCCAGUGUAGCGGUGAAAUGCGUAGAUAUUGGGAGGAACACCGGUGGCGAAGGCGGCCCUCUGGACCGGUACUGACGCUGAUGCGCGAAAGCGUGGGGAGCAAACGGG
rnacentral:rRNA from 1 species